rnacentral:rRNA from 1 species
GACGAACGCUGGCGGCGUGCCUAAUACAUGCAAGUCGAACGCAGUGGUGACGGGUGAGUAACACGUGGGUAACCUCCCCAGCAGUGGGGAGAACACAUGGAAACAGGUGCUAAACCGAUACUGCUGGAUGGACCCGCUGUGCAUUAGCUAGUUGGGGCGGUAACGGCUCACCAAGGCCACGAUGCAUAGCCUACCUGUGCGUGUGAUCGGCCACACUGGGACUGAGACACGGCCCAGACUCCUACGGGAGGCAGCAGUAGGAAAUCUUCGGCAAUGGACGAAAGUCUGACCGAGCAACGCCGCGUGAGUGAAGAAGUUUUUCGGAUCGUAAAACUCUGUUGUUAGAGCAGCGGUAUCUAACCAGAAAGGCACGGCUAACUACGUGCCAGCAGCCGCGGUAAUUC